GGGGGACGAAGUCGAACUGAACACCUCCAUCGUGGUGUCCCCCGGGCAACGCUUGCAAAAGCGGCUAACGUUCAG
rnacentral:ribozyme from 10 species